rnacentral:rRNA from 1 species
GCUAAUACCGCAUAACAACGAAAACCAACAUGGCUUUCGUUUUAAAGAUGGUUUCGGCUAUCACUUCAGGAUGGGCCCGCGGUGCAUUAGCUAGUUGGUAAGGUAACGGCUUACCAAGGCGAUGAUGCAUAGCCGAGUUGAGAGACUGAUCGGCCACAAUGGAACUGAGACACGGUCCAUACUCCUACGGGAGGCAGCAGCG